rnacentral:rRNA from 1 species
CCUACGGGGGGCAGCAGUAGGGAAUAUUGCACAAUGGGGGAAACCCUGAAGCAGCAACGCCGCGUGGAGGAAGAAGGUUUUCGGAUUGUAAACUCCUGUUGUUAGAGAAGAGAAUGACGGUAUCUAACGAAUAAGCACCGGCUAACUCCGUGCCAGCAGCCGCGGUAAUACGGAGGGUGCAAGCGUUACUCGGAAUUACUGGGCGUAAAGGGCGCGUAGGCGGGAUUGCAAGUCAGAAGUGAAAUCCUUGGGCUUAACCAUCGAACUGCAUUUGAAACUGUUAUUCUAGAGUAUGGUAGAGGUAGGUGGAAUUCUUGGUGUAGUGGUGAAAUCCGUAGAGAUCAAGAGGAAUACUCAUUGCGAAGGCGACCUGCUAGGACUUAACUGACGCUGACGCGCGAAAGCGUGGGGAGCAAACAGGAUUAGAUACCCGGGUAGUC